UCAAGGAGAGUUCUAGAAUUAUUCUAAAGACUACUUGCCAUACUUGUGGUGGUUUCAUCCAUGUCCUAUCAUUGAGAACCUUGGAUUUGAGGGAGUUGGCCUGAUAGGUAGGAAAGGAGGAAGCUGUGGUGGGUCUCGCUUGGUCCCAUAUGCAAAUAGUAUGAAAUCUUGAGUAAACUAAAUCUACCACUUAUCUCCUCUAACCCCAAAGACAUGGCCCAGCCCAGCCCAGGAGUAGCCCAGUGGGGGCAGAGUGGAGAAGGAAAGGCUGUUAGGGGAGGUGGAUACCCAGAACCUUGGUUUUUCAAUGUUAAAUGUGGAUUAGAAGAAAUGUCAGAUGACAUUUGACUGCAAAGAUAUUUCUAAACAGCCUUCUUACAUUUUGGUAUAAAAGCUGUGAACUUCAUAACUUUGUAAGUGAGAUAUAAAGCAA
rnacentral:lncRNA from 1 species